GCCAGAGUAGCUCAGGGGUAGAGCACUUCCUUGGUAAGGAAGGGGUCAGGGGUUCAAUUCCCCUCUCCGGCUCAA
rnacentral:tRNA from 4 species